AGUUCGGACUGUAGGCUGCAACUCGCCUACACGAAGUUGGAAUUGCUAGUAAUCGUGGAUCAGCAUGCCACGGUGAAUACGUUCCCGGGUCUUGUACACACCGCCCGUCACACCAUGGGAGCUGGUAACACCCGAAGUCAGUAGUCUAACCGCAAGGAGGACGCUGCCGAAGGUAGGAUUGGCGACUGGGGUGAAGUCGUAACAAGGUACC
rnacentral:rRNA from 1 species